rnacentral:rRNA from 1 species
GACGAACGCUGGCGGCGUGCUUAACACAUGCAAGUCGAACGGAAAGGCCCCUUUGGGGGUACUCGAGUGGCGAACGGGUGAGUAACACGUGAGUAACCUGCCCUUGACUUCGGGAUAACUUCAGGAAACUGGGGCUAAUACCGGAUAGGAAUCCUUGCUGCAUGGUGGGGGUUGGAAAGCUUCGGCGGUUUUGGAUGGACUCGCGGCUUAUCAGCUUGUUGGUGGGGUAGUGGCUUACCAAGGCUUUGACGGGUAGCCGGCCUGAGAGGGCGACCGGCCACCUUGGGACUGAGAAACGGCCCAGACUCCUACGGGAGGCAGCAGUGGGGAAUAUUGCACGAUGGGCGGAAGCCGGAUGCAGCAACGCCGCGUGCGGGAUGACGGCCUUCGGGUUGUAAACCGCGUUCAGCAGGGGCGAAGCUUGUGGUGACGGUACCUGCAGAAGAAGCACCGGCUAACUACGUG